CGAAGCGGGAAGAGCUCAAAUUUAUAAUCUGGCACCUUCGGUGUCCGAGUUGUAAUCUCUAGAAAUGUUUUCCGCGUUGGACCGCACACAAGUCUGUUGGAAUACAGCGGCAUAGUGGUGAGACCCCCGUAUAUGGUGCGGACGCCCAGCGCUUUGUGAUACAUUUUCGAAGAGUCGAGUUGUUUGGGAAUGCAGCUCAAAUUGGGUGGUAAAUUCCAUCUAAAGCUAAAUAUUGGCGAGAGACCGAUAGCGAACAAGUACCGUGAGGGAAAGAUGAAAAGCACUUUGGAAAGAGAGUUAACAGUACGUGAAAUUGUUGGAAGGGAAACGCUUGAAGUCAGACUUGCUUGCCGAGCAAUCGGUUUGCAGGCCAGCAUCAGUUUUCCGGGAUGGAUAAUGGUAGAGAGAAGGUAGCAGUUUCGGCUGUGUUAUAGCUCUCUGCUGGAUACAUCUUGGGGGACUGAGGAACGCAGUGUGCCUUUUGGCGGGGGUUUCGACCUCUUCACACUUAGGAUGCUGGUGGAAUGGCUUUAAACGACCCGUCUUGAAACACGGACC
rnacentral:rRNA from 1 species